ACUCAAAUGAAUUGACGGGGGCCCGCACAAGCGGUGGAACAUGUGGUUUAAUUCGACGCAACGCGAAGAACCUUACCUGGGCUUGAACUACUUAUGGUAAUUCGCUGGAAACAGUGGAUGACCCGCAAGGGAGUAAGCAGAGGUGCUGCAUGGUUGUCGUCAGCUCGUGUCGUGAGAUGUUGGGUUAAGUCCCGCAACGAGCGCAACCCCUACUCGAUGUUGCCACCCCCGCAAGGGGAGCACUCUUCGAGAACUGCCUUCGAUAAGAAGGAGGAAGGUGGGGACGACGUCAAAUCCUCAUGGCCCUUAUGUCCAGGGCAACACACGUGUUACAAUGGCCGAUACAAUGGGAAGCAAUACCGUAAGGUGGAGCAAAACCCAUAAAGUCGGCCCCAGUUCAGAUUGUGGGCUGCAACUCGCCCACAUGAAGGCGGAAUCGCUAGUAAUCGCUGAUCAGCAGGCAGCGGUGAAUACGUUCCCGGGCCUUGUACACACCGCCCGU
rnacentral:rRNA from 1 species